rnacentral:rRNA from 1 species
UACGAAGGUCCCAAGCGUUAUCCGGAUUUAUUGGGUUUAAAGGGUGCGUAGGUGGGUUGGUAAGUCAGUGGUGAAAUCUCCGUGCUUAACAUGGAAACUGCCAUUGAUACUACUGAUCUUGAAUUUUCAGGAGGUAAGCGGAAUAUGUCAUGUAGCGGUGAAAUGCUUAGAUAUCGGAAGGAACAAUCAGUGGCGAAAGCGGCUUCCUGGUCCAGCACCGACGUCAGGCACGAAAGCGUGGGGAGCAACAGG